rnacentral:rRNA from 1 species
AGAGUUUGAUUAUGGACUCAGAUUGAACGCUGGCGGCAGGCCUAACACAUGCAAGUCGAACGGUAACAGGAAGAAGCUUGCGUUCUUUGCUGACGAGUGGCGGACGGGUGAGUAAUGUCUGGGAAACUGCCUGAUGGAGGGGGAUAACUACUGGAAACGGUAGCUAAUACCGCAUAACGUCGCAAGACCAAAGAGGGGGACCUUCGGGCCUCUUGCCAUCGGAUGUGCCCAGAUGGGAUUAGCUAGUAGGUGGGGUAACGGCUCACCUAGGCGACGAUCCCUAGCUGGUCUGAGAGGAUGACCAGCCACACUGGAACUGAGACACGGUCCAGACUCCUACGGGAGGCAGCAGUGGGGAAUAUUGCACAAUGGGCGCAAGCCUGAUGCAGCCAUGCCGCGUGUAUGAAGAAGGCCUUCGGGUUGUAAAGUACUUUCAGCGGGGAGGAAGGGAGUAAAGUUAAUACCUUUGCUCAUUGACGUUACCCGCAGAAGAAGCACCGGCUAACUCCGUGCCAGCAGCCGCGGUAAUACGGAGGGUGCAAGCGUUAAUCGGAAUUACUGGGCGUAAAGCGCACGCAGGCGGUUUGUUAAGUCAGAUGUGAAAUCCCCGGGCUCAACCUGGGAACUGCAUCUGAUACUGGCAAGCUUGAGUCUCGUAGAGGGGGGUAGAAUUCCAGGUGUUAGCGGUGAAAUGCGUAGAGAUCUGGAGGAAUACCGGUGGCGAAGUCGGCCCCCUGGACGAAGACUGACGCUCAGGUGCGAAAGCGUGGGGAGCAAACAGGAUUAGAUACCUUGGUAGUCCACGCCGUAAACGAUGUCGACUUGGAGGUUGUGCCCUUGAGGCGUGGCUUCCGGAGCUAACGCGUUAAGUCGACCGCCUGGGGAGUACAGGCACGCAAGGUUAAACUCAAAGGAAUUGACGUAAGGGCGAAGUCGUUUAACCU